rnacentral:lncRNA from 1 species
AUGCAAGAAAGUCCCUUUGUACCCUGCUGCUUUCCACUGUCUUGUUCCAGAGCCACAAUUUGCAAAAGCCCAAAGCAACGACCUGGAAAGAAACAGAAAACAAGGUAUAAUUGGAGCUGCAGUUUUGAGCGGAGGUGGUACUGCUUACAGAAGAGAAGGAAGAGGGGUCUCUGGACAGGCUGGAGUUUAGUUACCUCUCAGCGAUGAGUCUGCACAGGGCCCAAAAUGCACUUGGAAAUGUGUUGUUUUCCUCUGGGUGGAGAUUUUAUUAGGGAAAUGCAGUUUAAUUAAGGUAUCAUGAAGAUUGGCAUGAGCUCUCAUCAGAUCUGUGGCCAUCUUUACCAGCUCUGUUCUCAUCCAGUUUCCCCCCUCUCCAACCCACCUUCGUAUCUCAAAACUGCAGCCCUUGCGCUUAAUUGACAGCCUGAUUUACUUUCCUCUUCUCACUGUCAAAAGAUGCAGCUGCUGGUUCUCUCUCAGGCUAUUAAAGUCCUGACUAUACCCACGACUCUCAAUUUCAGAGCAUUCACUCGGAACAAGGGACCUCAGAGAGAUUCUCCUCCUUGGCUAAAGGGAGAGAAGCCCUUUCUAGGAGACCAAGAAUUGUUUCUUCAGCUACCUGGGUGCCUCUUCACUUACUGGCCUCCCUUUCAGUAGACUGAAGAUGGGAGCUGCUAUUGGAGAGGGCUGGCAGUGGGACUGAUUCUCUCAUUCUCAGUAGGCAAAGUGAGGUGGUGACAGCCCUGGCAGAGGUCUGAAGUUAGAAUAGGGGACCUCAGCAGCACCCCGGGGCAAUGGCAGCACACGUUCCUGUUAACAGUGAGCAGUAUGGUGACUGGCUGUUGAGACUCUGGGUUGCCCAAGCCUCUGCACUGCACAAUAGGAGGAGUGUGCUCGGACUGAGC